rnacentral:lncRNA from 1 species
UGGGGAAGGAACGACAUUCCACUCUCGUGUGAGGUGAGGAAGCAGGCAGUGGGCGAGAAGAUGGAUUCCUUUUUGGACAGACAAGACCAGAGAGUGAAGCGGGAAUAACUCAUCCUCCCUACCUCCCCAGCAAGGAAACCUCUACAAACAGGAGCAGCCAAGCAGGACUGAGGCCCUCGCCCCCCAAGCAUCUUCUCAAAGAAGGGCAUGUGGGGGCCUGACAGCUCAGCUGCAUGUGUCAGCAGCUCCAGCCCCACCAUGAACAUCUGAACUCCUCAGCGGGGUAAUGGACCCCCUCCUUUCCCCCAGAGACGCAGCCUGAGUGGCAGGAAUACAGAGCCUUUGGAGAGUGGCUCCCUCUCAGCUCCGUCAUGCAAGAACAC